AGAGGGUCAGAUGGACAAAGGCUUUUAACUGGGUUGCCAUCAGACAUUGUCUGCUAAUACCCUUCAUCACUGCACAGAUAUGCUCUAAACAAAGAGAGAACUGGCUUUAGGUCAGAGCCAAGGAAGACCUCUGAGGCAAUGAGGAUGUGAAAGUACAGCUGUCUGUAAUUCUAUGGUCCUCAUCAUGGCAAGAAAAAAUAGUGAAGCAGGGAAGAGAACAGGGAAGUGAAUGGCCAGGAAGAUGGAUAACAUUCUUCAUCAUUGGCACUUUGGAAUCAUGCUAAGUCCCUCUUUUAUAGGCAAGCUCACUCGACCUCUCUGAAAAAUGGGACUAGUAACUGGCACUUUAAACCUGAAAGGGUAGGAAGAUGGAUGAAGAUUCACCGAUGAGCUGCAGGAUCUUGGGAAAAAAAAGGUCUUAGAAGUCUUCCUCCACAAAAUGAGGGGAACUAAGGACUCGACAUUCUCCGAGGUGCCUACCACUUCUAACAUUCUCAGAUUCUCACUUCACUACAACUUUUCUGCUUAAUGAUGGAUGGAACCCAGAGGUAUCAUCCCUAAUGAAGUCUCCCAUCUGAGAACCCAUCUUCCUGAGGUCAUCCAAGGAAC